rnacentral:rRNA from 1 species
GAUGAACGCUGGCGGCGUGCUUAACACAUGCCAGUCGAACGGAAAGGCUCCUGCUUGCAGGGGUACUCGAGUGGCGAACGGGUGAGUAACACGUGGGUGAUCUGCCCUGCACUUCGGGAUAAGCCUGGGAAACUGGGUCUAAUACCGGAUAGGACGAUGGUUUGGAUGCCAUUGUGGAAAGUUUUUCGGUGUGGGAUGAGCUGGCGGCCUAUCAGCUUGUUGGUGGGGUAAUGGCCUACCAAGGCGUCGACGGGUAGCCGGCCUGAGAGGGUGUACGGCCACAUUGGGACUGAGAUACGGCCAAGACUCCUACGGGAGGAAGCAGUGGGGAAUAUUGCACAAUGGGCGCAAGCCUGAUGCAGCGACGCCGCGUGGGGGAUGACGGCCUUCGGGUUGUAAACGCCUUUCGCUAGGGACGAAGCGCAAGUGACGGUACCUGGAGAAGAAGCACCGGCUAACUACGUG